rnacentral:rRNA from 1 species
UACGUAGGGGGCUAGCGUUGUCCGGAAUCAUUGGGCGUAAAGCGCGCGUAGGCGGCCCGGUAAGUCCGCUGUAAAAGUCAGAGGCUCAACCUUUGAAUGUCAGUGGAUACUGCCGGGCUAGAGUCCGGAAGAGGCGAGUGGAAUUCCUGGUGUAGCGGUGAAAUGCGCAGAUAUCGGGAGGAACACCAGUAGCGAAGGCGGCUCGCUGGGCCACACCUGACGCUGAGACGCGAAAGCUAGGGGAGCGAACAGG